rnacentral:tRNA from 1 species
GGGGCUGUAGCUCAGCUGGGAGAGCGCAUGUCUGGCAGACAUGAGGUCGACGGUUCGAUCCCGUUCAGCUCCACCA